GCAAAAUAAAUUAUGCAGACAGUAAAACUGUGGGUUUAAGGGAAAAGACAGCUCACUGUGGUCUAAAUUGUUCUGGUAAAGUUCAAUUAAAAUGUAUUAAAUUACCCUCAGCUUCAUCCUCAUGAAUUGAGUUGAUAGACCUUUAAAAUUUGUGUUAUAUGGUGAUGAUAAAGGCACAGAGGUAACUUAUCAACAAUGCUUUGUUUAGAAGUGAGAAGUUCUCUCACAUGAAAGUUUCUGAAAAUGUUAUCCUUUCUUUAAUGUGAAGAUGUCAGUAUGUUUUAUUGAUUUAUGCUUUUGUAUUUAUUGUUCUUUUAGUGUGGAAAUGGGCACCUUUGACUGAACCAUGUUUCUUGCUCGGUAUUGAAAAAUGACCUCAUUCCUUUAUCUGUGUAUCAGCUGUCAAUCUGCUACGCUGGUCUCCAGGAAUCUAGUCAGAUUCAAACCUGCUCCAUGUGUUUCAUCAUUCUGGAACCUGGGACCUGGAAGUGCUCUUCUUAUGAAGAUCACAGGAAAGCAGAUGAGUAAACCAAACUGUGCAAGCACACUUAAGCUCUCUGCUGCAACAUGUUUGCUAAUACUCAAUUCAAUAUUAUUGAAAACGAGUAAGGAAACAACAUGA
rnacentral:lncRNA from 1 species